rnacentral:rRNA from 1 species
UGCCAGCCGCCGCGGUAAUACGAAGGGACCUAGCGUAGUUCGGAAUUACUGGGCGUAAAGGGUCUGUAGGUUGUUGGUUAAGUCUAUGGUCAAAUUCCGAAGCUCAACUUCGGGCCGGCACUAGAAACUAAUCAACUUGAGUACGUUAGAGGCAGGGGGAAUUCCCAGUGUAGCGGUGAAAUGCGUAGAUAUUGGGAGGAACAUCAAUGGCGAAGGCACCCUGCUAGGCCGAUACUGACACUGAAAGACGAAAGCUAGGGGAGCAAAUGGGAUUAGAUA